ensembl:lncRNA MIR9-2HG MIR9-2 host gene
GAUUCUCCACCUCCUCUUCAUCCUCCAUCCCCCUUUUACUUCUCUCUCCCCCGUCUCUCCUCCCUCCCGCCUCCUUUCUCCCUCUCCCCCUCCCUCUCUCCUCUGAAUAAGCAAGCUUUUGCCUCUAAAAGUCACAAGUAAUCCUCGUGUGUGACAGAGAGAGAGAGAGAGAGAGAGAGAGAGAGAGAGAGAGAAACGAGCUGGCGGAGAGGAGCAGAAGGCAGGAGGGGAAAUCUGGCACAACGGCUGGGAGAGGAAACUUGAUGCUUCUGGGCCACCAUUUGCCAGGGCCUCGCUCGAGCCGGCGCCUCGGUUCCUGCCCAGCUGGAUUUGGGGGGCAGCAUUGCCUGGCGCAGGGAGAUCAAAUGAGACUGCAAAGAAGCAUAAAAUGAAUAGACAAUCCAACCAACCAAAGGAAAUUGCUUUGGAGAUGAGGAAACAAACUCUUAUGGAGACCUAAGAGACUGAAGACAUCUGGCGUGGACUACUCUGAUGGUAAAAUUGAAAGUACACCUAAAUUUGCUUUGUUACAGGAUUCUCUUCAGAGGACAAGAGAAGAUGUUACAUUCUCUGCAUGAGGACAAUUCUGCAGCAUCAAAAUCGAAUAAUAUUUGUUUUCUGGCAGCAGAAUUUUGUAUCAUAUUUCUAAAGACAGUAAGCACUUGGGUGGACGUCAAUGAAUACUAAACACUAAUUGAUCUGAUACAGCCGUAUGCACAUACACAGAUAUACAUGGUGGCUUGUAAUGGUUGAAAAAUUACGGUUUGGUUUUAUUAAAAGAUCUGUCACUUUUAGGUCAGAGUGGGAUUUUGGAGGGAUAGUCUCCCACAAUAGAAAACUACCCUGACAACAGUGGUGUUUUGAGGUUGUUUGUUGUUUGGCUUCUUGAUGAUGCUUAGCUAAGGAGACACUUCCUUUCAGAUUCUGUCUUCCAAACCCCAGGGCUCUGUUCUGGGCAGUUCAGCCUAAUGGAAUUAAGCCUGACAUGUUUCAACUCUAUUUCUUGAUAAAAUAAACAUAAAACAAUGGUUUAGAUUUCGAAUAAAACUCUUGAAGCAUGGGGUACUCUAACUUUCCCUGUUCUUUACACAUCUGUAAAUAAAGUGCAUAAAAGAGGAACACAACAGGAUAAAUCAACAUAAAUUUGAAAUCCACUGCAGCAUAUUAAAUGGCGCAGUCUCAGUCAAAGAGAGGCUGACCCCGCGGCUUCGUGCAGUUUGAAGCUAAUUGUUUUCGUCAGGAUGGGAACGUCUGGAAGUCCAUGGCUGUAUCCCACCAGUAAGGCUCCAGUAACUGAGCCGGCCCACAGAGAAUGGGCCCACUUUGUAGCGACACAGCGGGCUCAGACACCACCUAUUCUGCUCUCCAAACUGUCAUGCAUAACAACUUUAUUGUGCUAAAUUGAACUUGAAAGCAACCAAAGGCUAUGAGAAGGAGAGGCUAUGAGAAAAGCGUGCUGUCAGCGCCGGCAAAGGCUGACCUGGAAAGUAGGCUCAGAGACAGGGGAAUAAAAGACCAGGCCCCAUGAACACAGCAUAUUGUUUCAUUUUAAAGUAUGAUUCCCAUACCAGAGAAAGUAGCAAAUGUGAUGUAAAUUUAUUUAAAUAGAUUCGACCGCUUAAAAGUUUGCCAGCCGCUCUUAUCCAACUUUCCCAGCUCUCUGAUUCGUUACUUACAGUGGGAAUAUAAUGACAUAUAGUCAUCAUUGUAACAGCUUCUUUGCAGGGGCACAAUGAUGAUUAAUAGCCAGCAGCAAAUUUUCACAUGGGCUCUGAAGCACUAUGGCAUUAAGCAGCCAAACAGUCCCAAAUCCCCCUUUUCUGUUCCGCUGAAAAGUCCCCUCCUUGUACCUUCCAGAUAGGAACAAAGCCUAUCUUAAUUCCAAUCAGCUUUUCGUCAUUCAAAGGGACCUUCUCUUUUUCAUAAUUGAUUCAUGUGCAUUUUUUAGUGUUCCACUGAGCUGAAGCCACUUUUCUCCUUUCCUCUGUUCUGUCCCCACACCCACACCCCCUUUUUUUGAGGGGGUGAGGAGUGGGAAACAUUUCAACAACAACAACAACAGUAAAAAAUGGUGUGGUAGUUUCCCCCGCAAAUAUUUGCUAAAUAGAUUUCUCAAUUAGUAUUAGCUUUACACUUAAAAGUCUUAAAACAAAAAUUAACUCCUGGACUUCUUUUUUGUUGGAAGUGGUUUUGGUUAUAAAAAUAUGAGCUUACUGAAAUAGCUCUGGUGGCAGCCCCACAAUCAUGUUCUGUUUCACUGGGAGAGUUUGAGUAGCUUUCCUUCCCACCAGAGACUCACAGCUGGAGUGAGGAUGGAGUCUCUUGCUUCAGACAGAUUCUUUUUCCUCCUCUGUGCUGGUAGCCAUCAAAAAAAGAACAAGUGACCAAAAUGAAAGGCGGCAAAUGCACACCUCCUAACCCACUCUGUCCUUCUUAAGUAUCAUUUUUCCCCAUAGUAAUCGUACAUUAUAAUUAUUAGCAGAAGCUCCUGUGCUAUUUGUGGAAGUGCUCUCUCUCGUCUAUAGUUUUCACCUCCUGUGAUAACGACACAAACGACAUCAACCAGUGCUGUCUUGGAAAAAGAUUUCCAUCCGCAAAUUCAUUUGUGUUUCUAUGACAAUAUGAUGGCCAUAGAGCACAGUUUUAGUAGAUAUACUUUGCAUAUUUGUUUACAUUCCUUACAAAUCUGACCUCAUUUUUCUAUAUGAGUAGGGUGACCACACACCCCUGUUUUCUCAGGACUAGCUGUAUUUAUGCCUAUUGUCCUUACAUAAUUAUUAACAGUACUUCCUUUCACCCUCAAAAGUAUCCUGAUUUGAACAAUUUGAAAAACUCAUGACGUUUUGCCAUUAAAAUGGCCCCAAAUGACUUACACAAACCCAAAGGGUGGGCUGUCUCCUACCCAGGUGGCUGGGGACUGCUUUAUACCAUCCCAGUUUAGGGGAAAGAAUCAAACUUGGAAACCCUGCUGCCGAUGUAGCAGCACCGACUUUUGUCUCGCCCACUUUGAAGAGGUCAGUUGACCCUAUACAGCUUCUUUGAUAUGUGACAGAAAGGAGGUCAUUUGCUGAAAUGAAAGACACAUUACAAACCAGAUUUUAAGUGUGACUCUUUCCUUCAGCUGGGUCACAGUUCUUACUUUGAGCCAGAGCAACACACUUUACUGGUCAGAUAAAAAUACUCUGCCAUAUUUUAGAAUAAUGACCUUUCUUAUGCUUUGGUGUCUCCAAAUGGUUAAAUGGAGAAUAUAUCCAAUUGACAGGAGGAAUUCUGUUCAUCAUUUUUACUCUUGUGUUUAUAUCUUCUCAUAAAAAAAAAACAUGUGAAAAUGGCAUCAUGUAUCUCUAUUGUAUUUUUCAUUCAAAAAUCUCAAACAGGUGAGUGUAAUCCAGUCUUUAGGUUAUAGGACCAAAGACUCUCAAAGACUGUUACAAACCCCCGGACAGUGUCCCUAAGGGCUGGACUUUGCAUGUGGAUUACCGAGUUAACUGAGAGAUGUGUAAUAUCAUCUGUAGUCAGAAAACUCCCUACUCCCUAUAUGGAGCAACCAAGGACAUUCACAUGUGUUGCUUACUCUUGAAAGUAUAUGGGAUAAAUGGGCUCCUGAUAUGCUAGUUUCAGAAUAACUAUGGCAGGACCUUAAAAUUUCCCACUUUCCAUAAGAUCAUAGCUCAUAUUCAAUUACUGGCAGGAUAAACAUGUAAGAUUAUUAACUCUGCCUUACUAGUUCUUUUAGAGGAGCAUAGCCCCUUGAUGAAGGCAUUGUUCUAAGCCAAAUCUGGACCUAUCCAAUCUUUAUUCAUGCAUUUUAUCCGCUUUCUUAGAUCAUUCUUUCAGAAAUGAAAUGAGUGAGGUACAUGAAAUAUAUUUUCUGAUGCACUCUUUUUAAAAUAAAAUACUUUUUAUGGUUGUGCAUUUAUUUGUGAAGUGAAUGUUUAGAAAACUUUAAAACCAAUUCUACCAUUCUGUCCUUCUUUCAUGGUGAUAACCAACUGUUCUGUUUAAUAGGAUGAUGGAAUUGGUUACCACUAAAGUCCAGCCCUUAGAAAUUACUCUGUAUUUUUAGGCCCUAGACGUUUAUAAGUCUAUGAGAAUCUAACAAGGAGAAUUGGUUUCUCCUAACAAUUCUAUUAUCUUGUAGGUGGCUGUGUCCAUUCUUAAAACUUUUGGCUCAUCUUACCAGAUUUUUUACAAAGAUGCAGAUGUUCCUUAAAAGUGGCUGAAAGAUUAGGAGUUCCUUAAAAGUGGCUGAAAGAUUAGGGACUUUGUGCCUGAUGUGCUGGAAUAUGCCCGAGUUCUGUUAAAUCUGAUUUAACCAUAUUAAAUCAAAUC